ACCUGGUUAGCUUAGUUGGUAGAGCGCUCCACUUGUAAUAGGUCCCGGGUUCGAUACCCGGACCAGGCG
rnacentral:tRNA from 1 species